rnacentral:rRNA from 1 species
UUGGAGGGCAAGUCUGGUGCCAGCAGCCGCGGUAAUUCCAGCUCCAAUAGCGUAUAUUAAAGUUGUUGCAGUUAAAAAGCUCGUAGUUGAAUUUCGGGGUCUGUCUAUCGGUCGGGCUUCACUGUCCGUACUGGUUUGAUGGAUUCUUACCUUCUGAAUAACCAUCAUGCCAUUAAUUUGGUGCGUUGGGGAAGCAGAGCUAUUACCUUGAAAAAAUUAGAGUGCUUAAAGCAGGCUAGCGCUUGAAUAGAUUAGCAUGGAAUAAUGAAAUAGGACGGCAUGGUUCUAUUUUGUUGGUUUCUAGGAUCACCGUAAUGAUUAAUAGGGAUAGUUGGGGGCGUUAGUGUUCAAUUGUCAGAGGUGAAAUUCUUGGAUUUAUCGAAGACUAACUACUGCGAAAGCAUUUGCCAAGGAUGUUUUCAUUAAUCAAGAACGAAAGUUAGGGGAUCGAAGACGAUCAGAUACCGUCGUAGUCUUAACCAUAAACUAUGCCGACUAGGGAUCCGGACCGGAAAAGU